UGUACAAUGUCAUUCUCGAAGCUUCCAUCACCUCGUCCGAAAGCCCUAGGGUUUUCUGCAGGUCGUCUAGAACCGGCUUCCCGCCAACGUGAGGUUACUUGAUAGGCAAGUUUCUCUUGUAUUGGAAGAAUUAGGCGACCUACGGUGAUUAGGUUAGGUUUAAUUGUGUCUAUGGCAGCGGCUAGGAGGUCUUUGUUGAUGUUUACGCCGGUUAUUCCGGCGUUGUCUUCUUCACGAAAGAUACUGUUGUAGGACCGAUCUGAACUUGAUGUGUUAUCGUGUAUUGCGUGAAGAAGUUCGUAUUUAGAAUUGUUUUGAUCGGAAGAGCGGUUGGAGAGGAGUAUCGUGGCACCUCCGACGCGGAACAAGCAGUUGAUAAGGAACUUGGAACGAUCUUUUCCGACGUAGCAGUUUUCGGUAAUGCUUUCUGUACUCACUAUCAAUGCAUAGGAGUUGUGGUGCACCUGUUAUAAUUAGCAGUUUGUUAGGUUUGUAUGCAGGUUUUACAUGCUUGAUAUUUGCUAAAUGUACAUCAUAAUAGUAACAUUAACAUAGUUUAGGUAUUAUGCUUCCAUUUUUGUAAAUAUUCACAAUUUGAGUGUUAAUAUAGGUUUUAAUUGCUG
rnacentral:lncRNA from 1 species